GACGAACCGUGCGAACGUUGUUCGGAAUCACUGGGCUUAAAGCGCACGUAGGCGGAUUGCUAAGUCAGGGGUGAAAUCCUGGAGCUCAACUCCAGAACUGCCUUUGAUACUGGCGAUCUUGAGUCCGGGAGAGGUGAGUGGAACUGCGAGUGUAGAGGUGAAAUUCGUAGAUAUUCGCAAGAACACCAGUGGCGAAGGCGGCUCACUGGCCCGGUACUGACGCUGAGGUGCGAAAGCGUGGGGAGCAAACGGG
rnacentral:rRNA from 1 species